AGUGGACGCUGGCGGUAGGCCUAACACAUGCAAGUCGAACGGCAGCACAGUAAGAGCUUGCUCUUACGGGUGGCGAGUGGCGGACGGGUGAGGAAUACAUCGGAAUCUACUUUUUCGUGGGGGAUAACGUAGGGAAACUUACGCUAAUACCGCAUACGACCUACGGGUGAAAGCAGGGGAUCUUCGGACCUUGCGCGAUUGAAUGAGCCGAUGUCGGAUUAGCUAGUUGGCGGGGUAAAGGCCCACCAAGGCGACGAUCCGUAGCUGGUCUGAGAGGAUGAUCAGCCACACUGGAACUGAAACACGGUCCAGACUCCUACGGGAGGCAGCAGUGGGGAAUAUUGGACAAUGGGCGCAAGCCUGAUCCAGCCAUACCGCGUGGGUGAAGAAGGCCUUCGGGUUGUAAAGCCCUUUUGUUGGGAAAGAAAAGCAGCAGGUUAAUACCCCGCCGUUCUGACGGUACCCAAAGAAUAAGCACCGGCUAACUUCGUG
rnacentral:rRNA from 1 species